UAGGGAAUCUUCCGCAAUGGACGCAAGUCUGACGGAGCAACGCCGCGUGAGUGAAGAAGGAUUUCGGUUCGUAAAACUCUGUUGUUAGAGAAGAACAGCGCAUAGAGUAACUGUUAUGCGUGUGACGGUCUCUAACCAGAAAGCCACGGCUAACUACGUGCCAGCAGCCGCGGUAAUACGUAGGUGUCAAGCGUUGUCCGGAUUUAUUGGGCGUAAAGCGAGCGCAGGCGGUCAAUUAAGUCUGAUGUGAAAGCCCCCGGCUCAACCGGGGGGGGUCAUUGGAAACUGGUUGUAUUGAGUGCAGAAGAGAGGAGUGGAAUUCCAUGUGUAGCGGUGAAAUGCGUAGAUAAAUGGAGGAACACCAGUGGCGAAGGCGACUCUCUGGUCUGUAACUGACGCUGAGGCUCGAAAGCGUGGGUAGCAAACAGG
rnacentral:rRNA from 1 species